CGCGACCGCCCCUCUGGAGGCGCCGCCGCCCGCUGAGCGACACGGCCGCGGCUUGGCGCAUGCGCCGCCGCCGCCGCCGCCAUCGCCAUGGGGCCGCCGUGGAGCCGCGGCCUGGAGCUGGCGCUGCUGCUGGUGUCGCUGGGCCGAGCGGCGGCCGAGGACACAUGUGAACCUCCAGAAAGAUUUCACUAUGCAGAGCUCGGGGACAAGUUCAAAACAAUGGAUAGUUUUCCUGUUGGAACCAGUGUGUCCUACAUCUGCCGUCCAGGGUACAUGAAAAUCCCUGGAAAGUCAUCAACUCUUGUUUGUGGUCCAGACCUGCAGUGGUCACCAACAGAACAGUUCUGUACAGAGAGACGAUGUCGUCAUCCAGGAGACAUAGAAGGUGGUACUGUUCAUGUGCAAGAUCCUGAACUUAAAUUUGGUUCAAAACUUACUUUUUCUUGUAAGAAUGGGUCCAGAUUACGUGGAACUGAUGAAAUUACCUGUGUAAUUAAAAUGAAAACUGUUGACUGGAGUGAAGAUCUUCCUUUCUGUGAACAAAUUCCUUGUAAACCACCUCCAGCGAUAGCCAAUGGGCACUACAGUGAAGCAGAUAACUAUGUUUAUCUAACAGCAGUAAUCUAUGAGUGUGAUGAUGUACCGAAAGGCAUGGAUCGCUUCUCACUAAUUGGCUCGAAUUCUAUUUUCUGCACAUAUGAUGCAGACAAAAAUGGAAUUUGGAGUGGACCACCUCCACAAUGUAGAGUGGUCAAAUGUGAUAACCUGAAAGUUCAAGAUGGAAAAAAAAUAGCUGGAUUUGGGCCUUCCUAUAGCUAUAAGGACUCAAUUACAUUUAAGUGUGAUCCAGGCUAUUUUAUGGUUGGAAAUGAGACGGUUACCUGUGAAGAAGAUAGCACCUGGCAUCCCCCCAAACCAACUUGUGAAAAAAUUGUCGAAGAUGUAUGUGGUGCCCCAAAGAUCACAGAUGGAGAAGUAAUUCCACUGAAAUCUAAAUAUGGAAAAGGAGAGUCUGUUCAGGUAAAAUGCAAUACUCACUGCACCUUUCCUGAUGGUGUUGGAGAGAUGGCAAUAACAUGUGAAGGACGUGAUACAUGGAGUUCGUUGCAAAACUGCAAAUGCAGGCCUACAGUUUCUGGUUCCAGUCUGGACAUUAGUCAUGGUAGAGUAAUUGCUGGAUUAAAAUCUUCAUAUUCUGUAGGGGAUACUGUUACAAUUGAAUGUUAUGCAGGCUACACAUUACAUGGUGAAGCUAAUAUUCAGUAUAUUGGAGAAAACAGAUGGAUGCCUGAAGUACCAACUUGCCAGUUAAGUGUGUAUGUUAUCGUCAUCAUCUGUGUGAUUGUGGCAAUUCUGGUGUUGCUGGCAGCCUUCUGGGUGUAUAAGAUAUUCUUUUCCCGAAAAGGGAACGAAACUCAUGGUGCCUCAAGCCCUGGUCUCUCCUGGAGGAAUUAUUCCCAUUUGAUACGCAGAAAAUGCGAGGCAGAGAGGCGGCUCCAUGCAUCAUCCCCACAGUCAAGGAGUGAGUCAGACCCAGGGCCAGGUGCAGGACAGAGGGGUGUGACAGAACAAGUGGUGACCUGUAAGGGGAAUUGAAAUGAGUGAACUUCUAAGGUUUCAAAAAAAACCUUCUUCAGCCUGGGGGAGCAGGUAACUGUUUGUUGUGCAGUUCUGUUACUGUGUGGUGUUGCAUGGGUCAGGUAUGGACAAAUGUGCCCUAACUUGCAAUCUGAGCCAAUCGUUACCUUGUAAUGCCCUCUCUAUCAGAGGCCGCGUGAAAGGUAGGGUAGGUGCAGCUUCAUUCGGUGGAUUUGAGGCCUGUGAAUAGAAGAAGGUUCUAGAGACACUAUUGCAAUUAUGGGCAGCAAAAAUGUGCACUUCCCUCAUUUUCUCCUCAAUUUAAAGCAUAAUGGAGGGUUUUUUCCCCCUUGAUUAAGACCAGAACAAAAACUCCAGACUACUGUCCUGAGUGAACGUAGUCUGUUCCCUUAGUCCUACUAUUGCAGCCUUAUAAUUACAAUAUAAAUAGUAAGGUUAAAAAACAGGCACUCUGGAUUCCUCCCCCCCCCAAAAAAAAAAACAAAAAACGGUAGCUGGAACACUAUAUUAUGGCUUGCUAUGGGUAGAAGCUUGUAGCACCUUUUGUCCCGUUCAGCCUGUUUUACCAAUGGGAUAGUGAGGCCUGCUUAAGAUUUGAGUCACUGAAUUCAAGUCCUAUUAAAGGUAAUCUGUUAAAGCAUUUGCUUGCAUUUAUUGAACUGUCAGCAAGCUGCCUAUCCUUCUGAUCCAGUUUUUUUUUUUUUUAAUGGUCUGAUUGUGCAAGAGUUUGAGGUUGAGGGGGAAAAAAGGGAUAGGUAGAAUGUUUUUGUUUGCUUGUUUGCGUUUAACAAAGGGAGAAGUAUCAGGUGAGGUGAUGGGCCGUACCAGCCCCCAUUUUAUGGUUCUGCCAUACUGCCACCCGCAUUUGCUGUGAUGCUUGGAUGUAAUAAAGAAGUGCAAGAAGUAUUUAAUUUUCAGUGUACAGAUCUUUUGGAGGAACUUGGAGAUAAUUCAUGACAGUGCAACACCACUAAAAUAAUGAGGAUUCACUCCCAAAACCUGUGGUGUUUUUUGUUUUGUUUUUGUUUUUAAUCCCAGCCCUUUAUUGCAGUCUGUUAAGUAAAGGUAUGACACCUACGACUCUUCCGAAUUACCUGCCCCAAAGCUAUUCUGAACUCAAGGGAGUGGUUUUAGCAUGGUGACCAUUCUAGGUAUGCUAGAUAUUAGAGCUACAGUUUCUAAUCCUAUGCUUCUUGUGCACUGAUCUGAAAUCGCCUUGACUUGUCUAGAGUCAUACAAUCUUCUCCUACCUUUAGUUUCAUGAGAAUUCUUAGGCAAAAUCAGCCUGUUUGGAGGGCGCAGGCACUAUUAAGCGAGGAUUUCAGGUGACACAAAGAAUGAUGAGGUGAAACUGGGCAAACUUACACAAUGAAGAAAUGCCUAGCACUUACAUGACCUAGGUCAUGGAAGAACAGUAGGAGGGUACAGCAAUGAAAAUUCACCAAGUUCAGCCCCAUGCAGCUUGUUUAAAUAGCACGUUAUAAACUAACUCUACUAAACAGUUCAAAGCAGCUGAAACUAGAAAAGCAGAAAAGUGGUUUUCUGUUCCUAACUUCUAUAUGUAAGCAUCACCUUGCAAUAUAAAGUAUUGAUUGCAGGUCUUGAAAGCAGUUACAUAGCUAUUACUGUUGUGAUUUGUAUAGUCAGUUCAAGAACGUGGUGUUCCCCGUCACCACUACUGUUCCAGCUACUUUCAGUAAUGUCUAGGAAAGUCACAUUUUUCUUUGUGUCAUUAAAAAGACAAUAGAACAUCCUCUGAUAAUAAAGAGUAUAAGGAAACAGACACUGCCAGGUGUUCACUGAAAUGUAGCCUGCCUUUAAAACAGGACAUUUGAAAACAUGCCUUCUGUAACUUAAAAUUAUUCACAGUAGAAGGACCUGGCAAAAAUGAUGGAGGAAAGCAUUGACCAAAUCCCUAGUUGCCUCCCCUGAGAAACUCAGGUGUCUGAGCUGUUUGGUUAGUAUCUAAUCCCAGGAUUCUGAUUGUCCUUUCUGCUGCUGAAACUCUACUGUGUAUUGGAAGCUAUUGUCAAUGUUUAAGAAGCAUUUUAGUUGUAUAUUCAAAUACAAAACCAGUGGCUGCCGAUGGACGGAUACUGUGCACCGUUUGCACUGGGUAAAGAGUGUUUGUGUGGGGAGUUGAGGGAUGUGCUUAACUCAGAAAUAGCUCUCUUCCUGGGAAAGCUUAAGGUCUGAAUCACACUGUGUUGGCUCAGUUUUUAGCAGACAAGCUAUCACAUAUGCCUCCCUGUAGGCGAAGAGUCGUCACUGGCUUCAAGAUUAGCAGCCAGGUUCUUUUCCUUUGAAAACUAGAGAAUAAUGAUACUGAAGGCCAAGGCUGACUUUAAGCAUGGUCAGUGCGGGAAGCUGCCCAGCGCAGGACACUUGGUGCAAGGUAACAAAACUGUAAGCAAGAAGAAUCCAUUUGGGUCCACGCUUGGCCUGUCCUGGCUCUGCUGGACCCCAAGUUCCUCUCCAUUUAAACGGAGCCAGAGAACAUGCCCCCAGAUUGAACUUGGCUACUGCAAAGGUGGGCACGGAAGAAGUUACUUUGUUUGAGACCCUUGAGGCAUUAACUGCUCAGUGGUGCCUAUGAAGCUGAGAAAACUAGAGCCAACCUUAACAUAUCCAUGGUUGAUGCUGCCCUGAGUCAAGUGAACAUAACAGUGACAUUUGCAAGUGGAAACACCCGAGAAGAAUGUGGAAAUCUGGCAGGAGACAUAACAGCUAUUGAGCAGAGGUACCUGGAAUUAAAAGCAUGUGAGAGACAGCACUAGCUUAACAGACACUGGUGAAAGCACAGCAGCCUGUGGAGUCCACCUGAUAAAGACUACAGGAAGAAAAAUGCAAAUAUAUGCAGGGGUGCUUUUUUUCUUUUGCCGGAACGCGGAGUAACUUGAUGCCUGCUCCUAAAAAUAUGUCCAGAGGAAUACAGUCCAGAGGAAGCCUUGGAGGGAAAAGGGGUGAGGGAACUGGUGGAAAGGUUCUAAGCUUGCUUUUGCAGUUAGCUCAAGAAAUGUACCUGGAUUUUGAAGCACUUCAGAGAUGCAGGAUUUUUUGGAUCUAUGCUUUGGGGCUCAGUGGCCCACUGCUGCAAUAGCAUUAAUUUUCAAGUUUUACCUCCAGGCUCAGCGCUGGAGGUAAAGUGCUUAAGCACUGUCACCAUUGCAAGAAAUGUAGAUUGGGGGAUCCAGAACCAACUGGUCACCGACGGUGAGUCAGGGGAAUGACCUUGCCGCAGGCAACGCAGCAGGCAGCUACGGGUACCUCUCAGAGCCGUGCCAGGAUAACGUUAUAUAAUACCGACAUCUCUGAAUGCUGUUGAAACGUGAGUUAGCCAUUUCUACUGCCUUAUUUGCAACAAAACUUUUGGGUGGGUGAGAACAGAAUAACAAGGGCACAUUUGCAACCACGGCUUGGGAAUAUGUGUAUCUAUGUAUAGAUAUAUAGAGGAUAUGGGCAACCUGGAUAUAUUUUGCAUAUGUCUCUGUCCAUUAGCAUCAGCAAUACAGAUACUUAACCAAUGCGACUUAAAUCUCAACAACUCCCCCGCCCCAGCCACACCCCUAUUAAACUGUAAGAAAACACUGUGAACAAGUUUUAGAAAAAAUACAAGGCAGCAGUGAAUUUUCUGGGUAGGUCUGGAAGUGAUCUGUACGAAGAGUGAGGGUAAAAUACUUGGUGUUUGGACAUGUUAAUGGAUUUUCCCAAAUAAGAAAAAGAUUUGCUCGUAGACCAUAAGCUGCUCACAGCAUCAGCAAAGCUCCUGACACAGAGCCCGAUGCUGUAUUUGUAUGACAUGGAAAUUAACAGCAGCAGCAGCAGCAGCGCUGCAGGCUCAGAAUCUACUCUGCGAGCAACAAAAUGGCUAGGGGUGCUGUCGUGUUCGUUUGAAUUCCUUCGCUGUUUGUGGGUGGUGAAAUAGGUGGAUGCUGAUAUCCCUGCCACUUUGGAUAUGGUUGCGAACUUUAUCAUCAACAUUUAAAUUAAUGUUUCUAACCAUCUUCUAGUUUGUGCCUUCAUCAGCUCAACUUCACAGAGCAGAGGCAACAACCAACAGCAAAAUCGGACUGCGUCACAGAUGUAACACGACCAUCGGCAAAACAAGUACAGUAAGGUAUCAUGGCUGUCUCGUCAUUCAGAGAGCCUUCCUUAGCUAUCACAGAAGAAUAAUACGGUAAUGCUGCCGAAUUUAUAGCAUAAGCAUUUGCAAUCCUUAACUUCCUUUAUCAAAUUCUGCAGUCCUUGAACAGUAAAACUCCCAAGAAAAUUGCAUGUAUUUUGCCAGCAGACCCAACGCACUAACGAAUACUGCGUCAUAAUGCCGCACUAAGGCUGAGAGGUAUAAUAAACCCCACUUUACAAAGGAAGAAAACCAAAAUACAGAGAAAUGAAUCAGCUUGCACAAUGUCACACACACAAGAGUCAGAGGGAGUAAGAAAUCACAGCUUUUCCAAGUCCUUUUGAGGCAAUACUCUGACAACCAUUUUGGAACAGCUACCCGUAUCACUAAUGUACAGUAACGAUACCACUCACAUGCCCAAAAUCGCUGCUGACUUACAGAAAUAUGCCGUGGCCCUCGCUUAGCCUCGUUUCACAUAAUCUUGCAAAGUUCCACAGAUUUAUCUGGUAACAGUAACCAAUUCAUGCGUAAUGAGAUUUACAGCUGAAGUUUAACACUGAAAUAAUUCUUUUAUCUCUCAGUAUCCUUUCCCUCCCUGCACUUAGUUGCAAUUAAACCAUCUCUGUGGCAAAAAAAUAGUAGCAAAAGGAAUAAAAAGAAAUGCAUCCUUAUGCUGAACUUGAAAAGGAUGAAUACGCCAUAGUGAGUAUAUGGGCUGCCAGAUGCACCUCCUUCCAAAGGACGGAGGAAUGCCAUUAAGAAGUGCUACCAUUGCGAGUUAACGGGGCCCGCUGCCCCACAUGUGAUGGGGAAAAACGCGAAGGGUCGUCCAUUUAGACGUCGCUCAAUAAAAUAGACUUAACCCACCAGUCUUCCAAGCAACGGAACGUUAUUUAUCAGUCGAGAUCCUGGCUGUACAGAAUUACCUCCGCUGCUGCCGUGUACGAGUGCUGCCAUGUAUGUGCUGUUCUCAUGCAUGUGUGUAUUUACGCCUGUCUGUCUUGCUGCAGGGACCACCACUGUUGCUGCUAUUCCUGUUGUUCCCCUGCUCUGCGGAACUGGCGCUGCAGGAGACAAGGAUGCUCCAAGGGAGCCAGCUACAGCCAGCGAAGGCUCAGUGAGUCAGGAGGGGCUGUGACGACUGCACACUGCCUUUGGAAAUGGUCUCCUCCCCUCUGUGUUACUGCGCAAAGAAAUGGCGUCAGGGAUGAAGCUGCAGGGCAUACGGCCUUUACAACCGAACGGAAACAGAAUUCUGUCACGCGUCUGAAGAGCCUGAGCUAUUUUGGGAUUUGUCUGUACUACACUGAAAAUGACACCUGUUACACACAGACACAAACGAGAAGAAUUGCAAGCUCCUAAUUCCUCAGAUAUGAUUCUUCAAAAAAGGAAAAAAAAAAAAAACACAUGAGUCAUGCAUCUGGGAGAGCAAGGUUGGCCCAGUGCAAUAGAGCAGGCGCUGAAGUGGAAGCCUGCAGGUGAAAACCUGGCCAUCGCUUUGAAAAGCUGCAGUCCUGGAAUUUAUCAUAUCAAGUCUUAGAAACUCCCAGCUGGAAGAGCUAAGAUCUUUUCCAAAGAGAUGACAUCAUAUUAAUAUGCAAGCUGCUUCAAAGGCGAGGCUGAAGCUGGGUUCAAGGAAGAGCCUCUUCUUGGUCCCAAGGAACUGGACUUCCAGCACAUGCAGUUCAUCCUUACGCUUUCCCACCCACCAGCCCUGCCCAUCAGAGAGCACAGCUGUCGCAAGGGAACCGCAGUCUUCAGCUCUACCUGCUGCAGGCUAUACAUGACAGUCCACUCCCUGACCUCAACUGCUUAAAGCCUAACACAAAAAGAUAGAUAGUGCUGCUGCAAAUGUGAAGAGACGCCUGACGGUAACUUAAAAACAGCUAUUGCCCUAUGGGUACGAGGGCUCAUCUCACUGAGUAUCUAGAAAGAAAGUUACCUAUGCUGAGCCUCUGCCUGCGUGGGAACUUUCAGAGGAAAGAUGGCUGGGUGCCAUGCCUGCAAAUGCCUUGCCCAUUAGGCCUACCUUAACAGAUUUCACUGCUACCACUCCUCAGGAGGUACUGUGGAUCAGGUUGAUCAUAAUGGUUACUAUUCCUCAAAAGAUCAAGGCCUUCAGAUUUUAUAAAACUUAAAUCAUUAGAAAGGCUUUGCAAGACUACUGUGUUGCUUAAUGAGACUGAGGAGAAAAAAAAAAGAAAGCAUGCAAGCUUGCUGCACUUGUACAGAGUUAUCAGCACUGAGAAGUCAAAAAGCCAAGUCAAAAUCAGAGACAUCUAACAGAUUGUCUUCAUAGAGUCUUUAAAAACAAGGUAAGAGGAAGAGAUGCAUGUAUCUUAAGUACCAAAAAAGAUACGGAUUCUAAAAUUAUUAUUGAAUAGAUUCUAACUUAGUAAUAUUAGGAGAAAUGUUGUUUCUAAGCAGUAAAUGACCUCUGAGCUAACACAGUCUUACACUGUAGCUGUGAUAAUCCUUGUUGCACUAAGACAUCCAGACUUUAGUUCCAAUUAGUUUUACAUUGAGAGCCUCACCUCACACAAGAAAGCAAACAUAAAACAUACAUAUAUUCUUUUGUAAACAGAUAAACAUGGUUUCCACAUUCAUUUUGGUAUUGCACAGUAGUACUAAAGGGGCCAGUUUCAUCUCUGAGGCAAAGAAUUGCAUAGGAAAGUAAAGGCUGGUGUAAAUGAGCUAUCAAGAAUUAUCUACACAUGAACAAAGUUGCCCAGGAGAUGCAGUGGGCACCCAAUGAUAGGCUAUUAACUUUCAAGGACUAGCAGCCAAAGAAAGCAAAGCAUGGGGAAACAGUGUGCUGGGAGUGAGAAACAAAAAAGUGAGAUGUCAGCACAGGGUGGUAAUUGUGCUUCCCAGUGCAAAGCCAGAAAGAAAUUCUGCAUGACUUGGGAGGGAAGGGGAGGCUGUGAUUCUCACAGCAACAUAAGCUUCAACCUUGCUGCUCCAUUUUGAUCAGCUUUCCUGUGGCCUCCAACCAACUAUAAAUCAGCAAUAGAGCUUUUCUCUUUUUGAAAAUGCUGUCUUGUGUUACUACAGACAUCUACGUGAUGGUUAGCUUUCAAAGAGGUAAACCUAUGGCAGUGUAGAAGGUCCCGAAUAAGUAGUCAAGCAGUCUGAAAUGGGAGCUUGUGCAGGGAAGUGUCUUGGCAUUUAAGACAUCCCACUUAGACUCAUUGAUGGGCCUUGGGCAAGAAGAGGGAGGUGCUGAAGGGGGAUAGAGGGAAGCAGAUUGGAUAUGACAGGUGAAAAUAAGGCCAUCAGAUGCACACACCACUGAGCCAAGAAUCACUGAGACCUCAGUCUUGGUCUUCUCUGAGACACAUGGUCUUUAAUCAGGGCUACCUCACGGGACUUCCAGGAUCCCAGAUGGCUUGCUUUUCAGCUGGGAAAACUCAGAGUUGCUUUUGUUAGCAUUUCCGUCUCUGACAUGCAACAAACACCUUCUAAAAUGUUAUUCUGGAGAUCUUCAGCUUGCUUUCUGGAAACUUGCAGAGUAUUUCUUCACCUCUCUCAACUGCACUUGUAAGGUGAAAUGUAUACGCCAUCUGCAAUAGGAGUCCAGGUUCUUACAAAAACUAAAGACGCAGCCCUGCUCUUGGACACACAGCCCCAAAGGCUGCUAGUCAUGGCUUCCAGCUUCGUCCAGGCUAGACCCUUAGUGAUAAGGGAUGCUUCUGAUAAGACUCACAGUGAUUUCUGUAAAGUUUCCUACUCAUCAUGGAUUUGGUAAAAAGUUGUUUGCUUUGCUUGUGAUCUCAGUUGUCCCAGAUGCCUGAAGUUGAAUUUAAAACUGUAUUUUAAUGGCUCAUCUUUCAGCAAAGCUAUACACGCACAUAUGCACUUGCAAUAGUUCAGUUUCAGCUAGUGAACGCCGUUGGUAUGGCCAUUCCUGUGAACGGAGCUGCACGCGCCCUGCGGGAAAAGCCAGCCUUGUUUUGUUAUUCCCUAACGUGUGGGAACGAGCAUUUGUUUCUGCAGCCUUGACACUAAAACUGCCAACCCAGUGGCUGAAAUCUGGGUUAUACAAUGCCAUCACUGCCAUGAAAAAGUGAGGUUAAGAUUAGGUUAUCAGAAAUGAGAACUGAUGAUGGCCUACAACUGCCUCUGGAGGAUGUUUGCGCUGCCUGUAACAAACUUUUUUUAGUACAGGUGUAAACUAAAAUGCUUGAUGCUCAAAUGUACAUAAGCACAGAGGCCGGAAUGCUGAAAGUUUCUUGAGCUGUUCAGUGUGUUCACAAAUGCUCUGGAAAUCGAGUGCAUAGUGAGUUGGCAACGUUUGCAAAUGAUACAAAAUCAGUGAGGUUCCAUGGUAAAACAGACUGUGAAGAGCUUAAAAAAAAAAAAGGAUCCCAUGACAUGCAGUGCCUGGGCAAAAAAAAAAACUAACUAAAUUCAGAAUUUGUAUGUUCAAAGUGAUGCAUGUAAAUAAAAAAUGCUCUUAACUGUACACCUUCAAGUGACAGAUGGAUUGGAACACAGAAGGUCCCCAGACAGCUAACUGCUGGAUGUGGGAAGGACUGUAAAUACCUGACUGCUUCUAUACCCUUUCCCUAGGCUUUCCCUGCCAGGCACUGCUUACAACAGGAUAUUGGGCAUGCUGGAUUUGAGCUGUCCCAGCAGGGCAUUGCUAAUGGUCCUAACAUUUGCAUCAUUCCACUUAUGUGAUAAACACUACUGAGUGUGCAGAAUGACAGUCCACAUUCACAGAGCACUGUGAAACCGUAUGUUGCAAUAUAAACAUACCAGAGAGAAGUUUUGUGGUGUAUCAGGCCACAAUUCAUAUUCAUUUCACAGUCCAGUAGAGCAAACCCUGAAAACUGCACAAUUAUAACAUUUUUAAAGGGUACAAAACCUACACUAUUACAUCUAUCAAUGCUUUAUGAAAAUAGCCUGCUGACUGGUAUGCAAUCUAAAGGUGACUGCAUGAAAAUGGAACCAGAUUAGAAAGUAUAUGUGUGUGUGUGUGUGUGUGUGUGUGUGUGUGUGUGUGUGUGUGUGUGUGUAUAUAUUUAUAUAGUAUACACACUUAGUGUAUGAGAAACACUAAGUUGUGCUUUAAGAACAGUUCUCUCUUUUCCAGAAUGCUAACAUAAUUCCUAGAGCACAAGGAACAAAAGCUUUCUUCUGACAGAGUCUGUAGAUACAUUUUGAAGGGAUCAUGAGACAGGGAAAUCCAUCACAUUUAGGUGACUGACAGUUUGAAGGGAGCUACUCGGAGUGGCCUGAGGUCUGUGGCUCCAUGAGCUUUAGUGAGAUGUAGUCUUUCGGUGACUGGAGAGAAUGUCAUUGAAGGAAACCGCUAUAACCAAAAUUGCAACACUGAGAUGCCUUUUAAGUUUGGACCACUGCAGAGGAACAGAAACACAAGUUGUGUCAUCAAGAACAGACAAGUUUGUUUGGAAAGACCUACUACCUUCUAAUAGCAUGUGGAAAAAAAAAAAAACCCUGACUUUCCAUCUCCAUGGUAACUUCUUUCUUAAAAGCACUUUUAAUGCAAUUUGUUUUCUGUUCUUGUGGCUUCUUUACUAGUUUUAGAAUAGAGCAGUCAAGGCUGAAGUGCUGGUAACAAACCUACAGCAGGACAGCGGAAGAGGAACUGUGUCUUUGGCUACAAGUGACAAGUAGAGCUUUUGUCCCCUCCAAGGAGGUAUCUGUGUUAUCAUCACUAAACUGAAUAUAUGCUGAAUGAUUGCUGACCGCAGAAGAAAGUGAAAGCAAAUUACCUCCAGAAGACUGCAAAAGGGGAUCAACAUUGCUCCAGCCUCUCCUUGCAGGUGGUGGUAUGUAGUUACUUCUAGUAGAGGUGCCAUCCUAGGAUGGAGCCCUGCGGUUAUAUUCCAGAGAGCCUUGGUUUGCAAUGGUAAUAUCAUUUUAGAUUAUUAUCCAUGUCAGUCUUUGCUGCUCUUGGCUUUUCGUGUUACUUGUCUUCUCUUUUGCAAAGGCAUGUUAAAAAGAGUUAAAAGGAUGAUGUAGUUUUAUAAAACCCUCCUCUCAUUUAACAGAGCAAUAUAAAGAAAGGGAAUUAUCUUGACUACAAGGCCUCACUCAAAUGGACCCCGAACACAGCUAUAGGAUACUUUGCUAGCAACAGACAGUGUAGGUAAGAAACAUUUGUCAAAUGGGCAGUGUAUGGAAACAAGUCUGAGCAUAAGAAACUUAAGCCUCUUAAAUAUUAGCGUUCCAAAAAUAAAUACGUUUAUAUAAUGAUUGGGUCAUUGCUGCAGAACACGGGAGUUUGCAGCAUUGUACCAAAAAAGGCACUACGAAAUUCCGACCUUGUCUUUUAUAAAGGGCACUGAACCUCCUGGACCAGCAGACUCUGAAGUGUGCUACCUCGGACCAUUUGGACUUUUUGCUCACUGAUUGAUUUUUCUCUCAGGCCUCUCGCCCCGUUAAUAUCCACACCUGCUGCACCAGCCUGACCUGCACUGCAGAGCCUCGUGCAAGGCAGCCGGAUCCCACACGCCGGCCGGGCACUGCCAGGAGGGUGCUGACGAAGGGCCGCGCGCGGCAGAGGGUGCUCGCGAAUGAGGAAUGAAACUGGUAACAAAGUAACAGGAACUCUGCAGUCACUCCAGAAAAUAAUGGAAUGAUGUGAGAGAUUAAAUAUACCAUGGUACACCUUCAGAAGAAAACGUAUGCAGGAAUGAGUCAGAUAUCACCAAUGUUUUAGCUUUGUUAAGUAAUACCAUAGCAAGUUACAUGUAAGAAAAAUGCAUAUGCAAAAUGUAGAAAUUAUUUUAUGGA